rnacentral:sRNA from 1 species
GCUGAGCGCCAUGGCUCGUGCCUGUAAUCCCAGCGGCUUGGGAAGCUGAGGCAAGAGGAUCAUGAGUUCAAAGCCAGCCUCAGCAACAGUGAGGCGCUUAGCAACUCAGUGAGACCCUGUCUCUA